UCCCUGGUGGCUCAGACGGUAAAGCGUCUGCCUGCAGUGCAGGAGAGCCAGGUUCGAUUCCUGGGUCGGGAA
rfam:Ovis aries breed Texel chromosome 6, whole genome shotgun sequence.